GAUGAACGCUAGCGGCAGGCUUAAUACAUGCAAGUCGAGGGACAGCACAGGUAGCAAUACUGGGUGGUAACCGGCAAACGGGUGCGGAACACGUACACAACCUUCCUUUAAGUGGGGGAUAGCCCAGAGAAAUUUGGAUUAAUACCCCGUAAUAUAGUUGAAUGGCAUCAUUUGAUUAUUAUAGCUACGGCGCUUAAUGAUGGGUGUGCGGCUGAUUAGAUAGUUGGCGGGGUAACGGCCCACCAAGUCUACGAUCAGUAGCUGAUGUGAGAGCAGGGUCAGCCACACGGUACCUGAGACACGGGCCCGACUCCUACGGGAGGCAGCAGUAAGGAAUAUUGGUCAAUGGACGCAAGUCUGAACCAGCCAUGCCGCGUAAAGGAUUGAGGUCCUCUGGAUAGUAAACUUCUUUUAUUUGGGACGAAAAAGGGCCUUGCUAGGUCAACUGACGGUACCAGAUGAAUAAGCACCGGCUAACUCCGUGCCAGCCGCCGCCGUAACAC
rnacentral:rRNA from 1 species